UAUAGUCAGGUUAGUUUUAAAUUAUUGUUCUACAUAACUAAAAAUUGAAGCAAUUGGAUAUGCUGCAUAUGAAUUGAAAUGAUUGUGAACAAAGCCAACUAUUAUUAGAGACAUAGGAGGAUAUCCAGAAUACACGUAGAAGUAAAAAAAUUAAUACAAAUGCCCUGAAGCAUUAGGAAGUGUUAAACUAAAUGAAGGCUAUUAUGAGAGGGAUAAUUUGGCAAGAGUUAAUGCUAGAACCUUCACCCCGUUCACGAUAUCCUCAACGGAUGAAAAUUCUCCAGGCUUAUGGCUAUAUCCUGCAAAAUCAAUAACUAACAGGCAUGAAUAUCAAUCCACACAUCCUGUGAAGCAGCAAAGUGAUCUUGCACAGAUGCUUCGUCUUUGUCGUUAUGCCUAGCUUGUGAUAGUUAAUUCAUUGUGUAGCUAUUUUAUAAUUAUCUAGCAUAUAUUCAUCUGAUACAGUUGGCAUAGCAUAGUUCUACUAGUCAGUAGUGGAGCCAGGAUUUUGAGUACAGAGAUUGAAGAUUCAAGAAAAUGUAAAAAAGGCACACCUAAGAUAUAUGAACCUACAUUCAAGGGGAUUCAAUAGUGUUUAUAUACAUACAAAAAAAAUAUGUUCUAACCCUUUUUCACAGUUUAGUUUCCUGGCGAAGAGGAUUCAGUUGACCCCCCUUUACCAAAGGUAGCUCGUGACUCUGUCAAGGCUUCAAGUGUCUAAAAUAUUUUAUUUUCUAAAAUGUAAAUAUGCAACAUAACUAGAAGAGAGUAAGACUGACAUCAACCACACAUAAAGAAAAUAGAAAGGGAUAAUGAAGGGAUAAUGCGAACACAGAGAAAUUCUGUUGCCUUAGAGAUUGACUCAUCUGAAAGGGCUGGUGGAUCUUGAUUCACUAUUUCCAUGGGACACCUGUCACCGACCUCCAUUGCCUUCAAAUGUUACUUUGAUGCUUGCUGGAGCAGCAAUUGUAGUUACAACACCAAUGGAAGUAGCUGCAUUGACAGAUAAGAACAUGCUCUCUUCCUCUCACAGAAUUAUAGAUAUAAGAAAUGGGGCAGUACUGUACAGUAAGUACAUUUUGCAUUGUACCAGAUCAUACACCAGAUUGUAACUAUAUAUACAUCACAUUUUACCUAACUACAAAAUCCUAAUUAUAUCUAUGAAUUGUAAUUCUUACAAAUUAUAAUACGUAUAGUAAAUAUAUAUAUCACAUUUUGCCUAACUAUGUAAUUUUCCUUAAAUUAACAUCCCAAAAAAGUUUGUGACGUUGAACUAAACUCCUGAUAAAGGGAACAUGUCUCUUCAAUCCUUUUUUCUUGGAAAAAUUACAUAACAAGGCAAACAUGUCAACAUAUUUAUGGAACACCACCAUAGUUCUAAAAAAAUUACAAUAAACCACUAUAUGUUGGUUUUAUAGCAAACUCUCUCCCUUUCUGUCUCUCUCCCUUACCUCUCCUCCCCUUCUCUCUCCUGCCAAUAAGAAGAAAUUCAUUCAAAUAUAUUAUGUAUCAACUGUAUUCAAUCAAAUAUAUAUGUGGGAGUUUUGUAUUUUAUAUCAAUUGUAUUCGCAAAAAUUAUAUUCGUAUUUUUGUAUCAAUUGUAUUUGUAUUCAUACGAAUACAAUAUGCAUUCAUCCUCUCCGUCAAAUGUAUUAUGUAUCAAUUGUAUCCAAUCAAAUAUAGGUGAGAUAUUUGUAUUUUAUAUUGAUUGUAUUCGAUUCAACUGUAUUUGUAUGAUGUAUCAAUUGUAUUUGUUUUACAACAAAUACAACAUGUAUUCAUCCUCUC
rnacentral:lncRNA from 1 species